AAUGAACGCUGGCGGCGCGCCUAAUACAUGCAAGUCGAGCGAGAAGACGUAGCAAUACGUUUGUAAAGCGGCGAACGGGUGAGGAAUACAUGGGUAACCUACCCUCGAGUGGGGAAUAACUAGCCGAAAGGUUAGCUAAUACCGCGUACGCUUCUUGGACUUCGGUUCAGGGAGGAAAGCGAUGCCGAGGGUAUCGCGCUCUUGGAUGGGCUCAUGUCCUAUCAGCUUGNGGUGAGGUAACGGCUCACCAAGGCUUCGACGGGUAGCUGGUCUGAGAGGACGAUCAGCCACACUGGCACUGCGACACGGGCCAGACUCCUACGGGAGCAGCAGUAAGGAUAUUGCGCAAUGGGCGAAAGCCUGACGCAGCGACGCCGCGUGGGGGAUGAAGGUCUUCGGAUUGUAAACCCCUUUCGGGAGGGAAGAUGGAAUGGGGUAACCCGAUUCGGACGGUACCUCCAGAAGCAGCCACGGCUAACUUCGUGCCAGCAGCCG
rnacentral:rRNA from 1 species